ACACGACUACAUUAGAUACCCGUGUAGUCCCAGCCCUAAACGAUGCGCGUUAGGUGUAUCGGUGACCACGAGUCACCGAGGUGCCGAAGGGAAACCGUGAAACGUGCCGCCUGGGAAGUACGGUCGCAAGGCUGAAACUUAAAGGAAUUGCGGGGGAGCACCACAACGGGUGGAGCCUGCGGUUUAAUUGGACUCAACGCCGGGAAGCUCACCGGAUAAGACAGCGGAAUGAUUGCCGGGCUGAAGACCCUGCAUGACCAGCUG
rnacentral:rRNA from 1 species